UACAGAGGUCUCAAGCGUUGUUCGGAUUCAUUGGGCGUAAAGGGUGCGUAGGCGGCGCGGUAAGUCGGGUGUGAAAUCUUGGAGCUUAACUCCGAAACUGCAUUCGAUACUGCCGUGCUUGAGGACUGGAGAGGAGACUGGAAUUUACGGUGUAGCGGUGAAAUGCGUAGAGAUCCCCAAGAACACCAGUUGCGAAGGCGGCCGUCUGGACACAUAUUGACGCUGAGGCUCGAAAGCAUGGGGAGCAAACAGG
rnacentral:rRNA from 1 species